GUAGGUGAACCUGCGGAAGGAUCAUUAACACGUUUACCACGUAUCUAACAAACUUCGUGAACCUUAAUGUCAGGGUCACUUCUGGCUGGCAGGGAAACCAAGGUGAUUCUUGGGAGUACUCGCUGUCUAGUCGUGAUCGUAAGAUUAUGCGGUUUGAGUUAUGCAGUCGACCACCCGUUGACACCGACGCGCACGUUCUGUGUGCGGAGCCGUAGACGGUCCCGUCUGUAGAUCAUUCCGCACGAAAUCA
rnacentral:misc_RNA from 1 species